rnacentral:rRNA from 1 species
AGAGGAAGUAAAAGUCGUAACAAGGUUUCCGUAGGUGAACCUGCGGAAGGAUCAUUCAUAAUAAGUGUUUUAUGGCACUUUUUAAAUCCAUAUCCACCUUGUGUGCAAUGUCAGUCGUUCUCUUUUUUGAGAGCGACCAAACAUCAACUUAUUCUUUAACUCUUUGUCUGAAAAAUAUUAUGAAUAAAAUAAUUCAAAAUACAACUUUCAACAACGGAUCUCUUGGCUCUCGCAUCGAUGAAGAACGCAGCGAAAUGCGAUACGUAAUGUGAAUUGCAGAAUUCAGUGAAUCAUCGAAUCUUUGAACGCAUAUUGCGCUCUUUGGUAUUCCGAAGAGCAUGCUUGUUUGAGUAUCAGUAAACACCUCAAAGACUUCAAUUUGUUUUGAAUGGCUUUGGACUUGAGCAAUCCCAACACCAGUCUUUACGAUCGGUGGAGGGUUGCUUGAAAUGCAGGUGCAGCUGGACAUUCUCCUGAGCUAAAAGCAUAUUUAUUUAGUCCCGUCAAACGGAUUAUUACUUUUGCUGCAGCUAACAUAAAGGGAGUUUGACCGUAUUGGCUGACUGAUGCAGGAUUUCACAAGGGUCGGCAACGAUUCUUGUAAAACUCGAUCUCAAAUCAAGUAAGACUACCCGCUGAACUUAAGCAUAUCAAAG